rnacentral:rRNA from 1 species
CCUACGGGGGGCAGCAGUGGGGAAUAUUGGACAAUGGGGGCAACCCUGAUCCAGCCAUACCGCGUGUGUGAAGAAGGCCCUCGGGUUGUAAAGCACUUUCAGUGAGGAAGAACGCCUGGUGGUUAAUACCCAUCAGGAAAGACAUCACUCACAGAAGAAGCACCGGCUAACUCCGUGCCAGCAGCCGCGGUAAUACGGAGGGUGCGAGCGUUAAUCGGAAUUACUGGGCGUAAAGCGCGCGUAGGUGGCUUGAUAAGCCGGUUGUGAAAGCCCCGGGCUCAACCUGGGAACGGCAUCCGGAACUGUCAAGCUAGAGUGCAGGAGAGGAAGGUAGAAUUCCCGGUGUAGCGGUGAAAUGCGUAGAGAUCGGGAGGAAUACCAGUGGCGAAGGCGGCCUUCUGGACUGACACUGACACUGAGGUGCGAAAGCGUGGGUAGCAAACAGGAUUAGAUACCCGUGUAGUC